CGCGGUACAGGGAAAACCCUGUCCGUUCAGCAGUCUGUUGGCGUGCCCGAAACCGACCAAAUAGGCGGGCUCGGGGCGUGACAGAUAAGAUGGUAUCAGAGUAUAAAAGAAACAUAAAAAAGAAUAAUAGAAAAUGGUUUAGUUGGACCUAGGAGACCCUAGGAGAGUAAACCAUAGGAGAUUAAGGCUCGUGAGAGACGAGGACUUGUGACUUGUGGCGAAAGGAUAAUGGAUUGGGUUUUGUCGUAAACCUCUAAAAUGGAUGUUAAAAGUAGACUCAGGGUGAGGUUUAUUCUCAACAGAGGGUGUUCAUGUUGGGUGCACACAACAUGAAGCCAAGUGAUGAGAAUAGACGCCCUUGCGUGACUUUCGCCCGAUUUGAGUCGGUAUUAAGUGUCUUGUGUUCGACCUAGAAGGUCGAGGAUUAAUAGAGUUGUCGCGUUUUAGGAAGCGAUAGCACUGCGUAGGCGAUCUUCAUUUAGAUCGGCGUGGGAUGGGCCAAGUGGUGUCCCUGGGCAAUUUGAGGC
rnacentral:lncRNA from 1 species